AUUGAACGCUGGCGGCAGGCCUAACACAUGCAAGUCGAACGGUAACAGGAAGCAGCUUGCUGCUUCGCUGACGAGUGGCGGACGGGUGAGUAAUGUCUGGGAAACUGCCUGAUGGAGGGGGAUAACUACUGGAAACGGUAGCUAAUACCGCAUAACGUCGCAAGACCAAAGAGGGGGACCUUAGGGCCUCUUGCCAUCGGAUGUGCCCAGAUGGGAUUAGCUAGUAGGUGGGGUAACGGCUCACCUAGGCGACGAUCCCUAGCUGGUCUGAGAGGAUGACCAGCCACACUGGAACUGAGACACGGUCCAGACUCCUACGGGAGGUAGCAGUGGGGAAUAUUGCACAAUGGGCGCAAGCCUGAUGCAGCCAUGCCGCGUGUAUGAAGAAGGCCUUCGGGUUGUAAAGUACUUUCAGCGGGGAGGAAGGGAGUAAAGUUAAUACCUUUGCUCAUUGACGUUACCCGCAGAAGAAGCACCGGCUAACUCCGUG
rnacentral:rRNA from 1 species